UAGGGAAUCUUCGGCAAUGGACGAAAGUCUGACCGAGCAACGCCGCGUGAGUGAAGAAGGUUUUCGGAUCGUAAAACUCUGUUGUUAGAGAAGAACAAGGACGUUAGUAACUGAACGUCCCCUGACGGUAUCUAACCAGAAAGCCACGGCUAACUACGUGCCAGCAGCCGCGGUAAUACGUAGGUGGCAAGCGUUGUCCGGAUUUAUUGGGCGUAAAGCGAGCGCAGGCGGUUUCUUAAGUCUGAUGUGAAAGCCCCCGGCUCAACCGGGGAGGGUCAUUGGAAACUGGGGGACUUGAGUGCAGAAGAGGAGAGUGGAAUUCCAUGUGUAGCGGUGAAAUGCGUAGAUAUAUGGAGGAACACCAGUGAAGAAGGCGGCUCUCUGGUCUGUAACUGACGCUGAGGCUCGAAAGCGUGGGGAGCAAACAGG
rnacentral:rRNA from 1 species